rnacentral:rRNA from 1 species
GACGAACGCUGGCGGCGUGCCUAAUACAUGCAAGUCGAACGCACAGUUUAUACCGUAGCUUGCUACACCAUAAACUGUGAGUUGCGAACGGGUGAGUAACGCGUAGGUAACCUGCCUGGUAGCGGGGGAUAACUAUUGGAAACGAUAGCUAAUACCGCAUAAUAUUAAUUAUUGCAUGAUAAUUGAUUGAAAGAUGCAAUUGCAUCACUACCAGAUGGACCUGCGUUGUAUUAGCUAGUAGGUGAGGUAACGGCUCACCUAGGCGACGAUACAUAGCCGACCGGAGAGGGUGAGCGGCCACACUGGGAGGGAGACACGGCCCAGACGCCUACGGGAGGCAGCAGGAGUGAAACGGCGGCAAGGGACGAAAGUCUGACCGAGCAACGCCGCGGGAGGGAAGAAGGAUGUCGGAUCGGAAAGCUCGGUUGUAAGAGAAGAACGGGUGUGAGAGUGGAAAGUUCACACUGUGACGGUAUCUUACCAGAAAGGGACGGCUAACUACGUG